rnacentral:rRNA from 1 species
CAGCGCCGCGGUAAUACGGAGGGUGCAAGCGUUAAUCGGAAUUACUGGGCGUAAAGCGCACGCAGGCGGUCUGACAAGUCAGAUGUGAAAUCCCCGGGCUUAACCUGGGAACUGCAUUUGAAACUGUCAGGCUGGAGUCUUGUAGAGGGGGGUAGAAUUCCAGGUGUAGCGGUGAAAUGCGUAGAGAUCUGGAGGAAUACCGGUGGCGAAGGCGGCCCCCUGGACAAAGACUGACGCUCAGGUGCGAAAGCGUGGGGAGCAAACAGGAUUAGAUACCCGAGUAGUCCCUGUCUCUUAUACA